AUCCAGCUGACACGUCCAAAUGAGACGAAACGUACGUCCUGGAU
rnacentral:hammerhead_ribozyme from 1 species